GUGGGGGAUAUUGCACAAUGGGGGAAACCCUGAUGCAGCGACGCCGCGUGAGUGAAGAAGUAUUUCGGUACGUAAAGCUCUAUCAGCAGGGAAGAAAAAUGACGGUACCUGACUAAGAAGCCCCGGCUAACUACGUGCCAGCAGCCGCGGUAAUACGUAGGGGGCAAGCGUUAUCCGGAUUUACUGGGUGUAAAGGGAGCGUAGACGGCUGUGCAAGUCUGAAGUGAAAUGCCGGGGCCCAACCCCGGAACUGCUUUGGAAACUGUACAGCUAGAGUGCAGGAGGGGUGAGCGGAAUUCCUAGUGUAGCGGUGAAAUGCGUAGAUAUUAGGAGGAACACCGGUGGCGAAGGCGGCUCACUGGACUGUAACUGACGUUGAGGCUCGAAAGCGUGGGGAGCAAACAGGA
rnacentral:rRNA from 1 species